UCCGUGCCAGCAGCCGCGGUAAUACGGAGGGGUUAGCGUUGUUCGGAAUUACUGGGCGUAAAGCGCGCGUAGGCGGAUUAGUCAGUUAGAGGUGAAAUCCCAGGGCUCAACCCUGGAACUGCCUUUAAUUACUGCUAGUCUUGAGUUCGAGAGAGGUGAGUGGAAUUCCGAGUGUAGAGGUGAAAUUCGUAGAUAUUCGGAGGAACACCAGUGGCGAAGGCGGCUCACUGGCUCGAUACUGACGCUGAGGUGCGAAAGUGUGGGGAGCAAACAGGAUUAGAUACCCUGGUAG
rnacentral:rRNA from 1 species